AAACCAGCACCUCAAGUGGUCAGGAUGAUUAUUGGGCCUAAAGCAUCCGUAGCCUGCUCUGUAAGUUUUCGGUUAAAUCUGUACGCUUAACGUACAGGCUGCCGGGAAUACUGCAGAGCUAGGGAGUGGGAGAGGUAGACGGUACUCGGGAGGAAGUGGUAAAAUGCUUUGAUCUCUCGAUGACCACCUGUGGCGAAGGCGGUCUACCAGAACACGUCCGACGGUGAGGGAUGAAAGCUGGGGGAGCAAACCGGAUUAGAAACCCUGGUAGUCC
rnacentral:rRNA from 1 species